rnacentral:rRNA from 1 species
UCGAGAAUAGUCUACAAUGGUCGGAAGACUGAUAGUGCGACGCCGCGUGAACGAUGAAUCCCUUCGGGGUGUAAAGUUCUUUUAUAUGUGAGCAGUGCUUCUUAUAUUAAGAGUAUGGGGAGAGAGAUAUUAGCAUAUGAAUAAGCAACGGCUAACUCCGUG